rnacentral:rRNA from 1 species
UACGGGGGGAGCAAGCGUUGUUCGGAUUUACUGGGCGUAAAGGGCGCGUAGGCGGCGCAACAAGUCACUUGUGAAAUCUCCGGGCUUAACUCGGAAAGGUCAAGUGAUACUGUUGUGCUAGAGUGCGGAAGGGGCAACUGGAAUUCUCGGUGUAGCGGUGAAAUGCGUAGAUAUCGUAAGGAAGACCAGUGGCGAAGGCGGGUCUCUGGACAGUUCCUGACGCUGAGACACGAAGGUCAGGGGAGCAAACGGG